rnacentral:misc_RNA from 1 species
AAAGUUCGGGUUUGGUAUUUUGAUGUAGCUUCGGGUUCUCUGCCAAAAAAUGGCAACAAAACUGUUAUAUUCUCUUGGAACUCGAGGCCAGCAAAGCAGAAUAUUUAACCAAGCCACCAGAGCAUUCUCUACAUCUCAAAACAGAAACAAAUAUGUUAUUGUAUCCAAAAAAGAACCUGAGGUCACAUUUGAAGCAAUGACAGACAGAUUUGUUUUUUAUACAUUUCUCCAGGAGAUUAUUGCAGGAGGAAGAACUGUACUUGGUAUGCUUUUUAAGGAGCCAGCCACUAUAAAUUAUCCUUUUGAAAAGGGCCCCUUGAGUCCACGAUUCAGGGGUGAGCAUGCCCUCAGAAGAUACCCUUCUGGGGAGGAGAGGUGCAUUGCUUGUAAGCUUUGUGAAGCUAUUUGCCCUGCUCAGGUAUACUUUUUCCUCAAAUUUUCAAAAUUUACUGAGAUUUUGUAAGCACUAUUACAAAUGAUUCUCUAACCAAAGUUAAUUUAAAAAAAAAAGGUUCCUUUUACAAACAAUUUGACAAUGCCAAUGCAUGGUACACAAUUUAAGCUCACCAUAACUUAAAGCUUCAAGAAAAGGAAAAGAUACUCAGCUUUGUAGCUAAGGUAAAGGAGUGGUUACCUAAUUGUACUAAUUCUUUUGUAGGCCAUUACAAUCGAGGCUGAGACCAGAGCUGAUGGUAGCAGGAGGACGACACGAUAUGAUAUUGACAUGACGAAAUGUAUAUAUUGUGGCUUCUGUCAGGAAGCAUGCCCAGUGGAUGCUAUUGUUGAGGGUCCUAACUUUGAAUACUCCACUGAGACCCAUGAAGAACUUCUGUACAACAAAGAAAAGCUACUGAGCAAUGGAGACAAGUGGGAGGUGGAGAUUGCAGCCAACCUGCAGGCAGAUUAUAUGUACAGAUAAAGUGUUGAAUGGACCACACACCGUCUUAUUAUUAUUAUGAAAAGAUCUUGAGUGAGGCUGCAUGUAAAUACAGGCUUGUUAAAUAUCAUUUAAUAAAAUACCAAAAAAG